AAAAGGCACUGCUCUGCUAACGGGGUAGGCUCCUUUGGCGGUCCUAUAGGCCCUCCUACCCAACUCCUAUUCCGUCACGUCCUUGUCGUGCAUAUCCAAGCUUGGGUACACGGGUUAUUCCCAACUCCUCGGGCAGAUGGCGGAACAUGGCUAAACGGGAGGGG
rnacentral:ribozyme from 1 species